GCCCGAUUCACUUAACUAGCUGGUCAGAGUAUCGUACUAAUACAACCCCUCGGGUCAUGUAUCGGGCCCGUUAUGCGAAAGUCGACAGUUCAAGCCUGUCAUUGGGCC